rnacentral:rRNA from 1 species
CCUGGUUGAUUCUGCCAGUAGUCAUAUGCUUGUCUCAAAGAUUAAGCCAUGCAUGUCUAAGUAUAAGCAACUAUACUGUGAAACUGCGAAUGGCUCAUUAAAUCAGUUAUCGUUUAUUUGAUAGUACCUUACUACUUGGAUAACCGUGGUAAUUCUAGAGCUAAUACAUGCGAAAAACCCCGACUUCGGAAGGGGUGUAUUUAUUAGAUAAAAAACCAAUGCCCUUCGGGGCUUCCUGGUGAUUCAUAAUAACUUAACGAAUCGCAUGGCCUUGCGCCGGCGAUGGUUCAUUCAAAUUUCUGCCCUAUCAACUUUCGAUUGUAGAGUAGUGGUCUACAAUGGUUUCAACGGGUAACGGGGAAUUAGGGUUCGACUCCGGAGAGGGAGCCUGAGAAACGGCUACCACAUCCAAGGAAGGCAGCAGGCGCGCAAAUUACCCAAUCCCGACACGGGGAGGUAGUGACAAUAAAUACUGAUACAGGGCUCUUUUGGGUCUUGUAAUUGGAAUGAGUACAAUUUAAAUCCCUUAACGAGGAACAACUGGAGGGCAAGUCUGGUGCCAGCAGCCGCGGUAAUUCCAGCUCCAGAAGCGUAUAUUAAAGUUGUUGCAGUUAAAAAGCUCGUAGUUGAAUUUUGGGCCUGGCUGGCCGGUCCGCCUCACCGCGUGCACUGGUCCGGCCGGGCCUUUCCUCCUGGGGAUCCGCAUGCCCUUCACUGGGUGUGUUGGGGAACCAGGACUUUUACUUUGAAAAAAUUAGAGUGUUCAAAGCAGGCCUUUGCUCGAAUACAUUAGCAUGGAAUAAUAGAAUAGGACGGCUUUCCUAUUUUGUUGGUUUCUAGGGAAGCCGUAAUGAUUAAUAGGGAUAGUCGGGGGCAUCAGUAUUCAAUUGUCAGAGGUGAAAUUCUUGGAUUUAUUGAAGACUAACUACUGCGAAAGCAUUUGCCAAGGAUGUUUUCAUUAAUCAGUGAACGAAAGUUAGGGGAUCGAAGACGAUCAGAUACCGUCGUAGUCUUAACCAUAAACUAUGCCGACUAGGGAUCGGGCGAUGUUACUAUCUUGACUCGCUCGGCACCUUACGAGAAAUCAAAG